UAUUAAGUUACCUGUGUUCAAAUAUAAAUAUUUAACAUUUCAGUGCAAAUGGUCGAAAUUCCGUUUUAAGCUGCCGUCCUGAAAUGACCAGAAGGACACGUUUCAUGGACAAGACCAAGUUUCGCCGGCAGGCCUACACCGCACAUCCUACUAGACUGUUAAAGUGGACCUGUUUGUAAUGCAACAAAAAAUAUUGGUCAUCAAAUAAUACAAUUAGGCAAAAACAAUGAAAAAUUUAAGAAUGGAUUUAGAAAGGUAAAGGACUAGAGUUAUUUUGUAAAUUUCUUUCAUAAAAAAAAAUAAAAUCAUGCCUUUCAAGAAAGUCCUAAAUACAUGUAGCGCGACAAAUCCGCUUACCGCCCUCCCACUCAACGCGGAAAAACCAAGCUAAGGACAAAAGCUUCAAGAAAAAGAAAUAUUUGAAAGAGCCUAGACAGUCGUUUACACGGCUUAUUCGUCUUCAUUUCAACAUCAACGAUGAUUAUGAUUUAAGGUCAUCCACAAAGGCGUCCAGUAAUGCCGGUUGCAAUGCAAUGACAGAGGGGUUGAUGAGUGCAAUCGCAACGUAAUUAGCGUCUUGGGAGACAUACGGCAUUAUAGCAGUGAGUUGCUCGACGAACUUUGAACCGAACUUUAAAUCAUCGA